UACGUAGGGUGCGAGCGUUAAUCGGAAUUACUGGGCGUAAAGCGUGCGCAGGCGGUUCGUUAAGUUCGUCGUGAAAGCCCCGGGCUCAACCUGGGAAUGGCGAUGGAAACUGGUGGACUUGAGGACUUGAGGGGGAGACGGAAUUCCGGGUGGAGCGGUGAAAUGCGUAGAGAUCCGGAGGAACACCGAAAGCGAAGGCAGUCUCCUGGCAAGUUUCUGACGCUCAGGUGCGAAAGCUAGGGGAGCGAACAGG
rnacentral:rRNA from 1 species